AUUGAACGCUGGCGGCAUGCCUUACACAUGCAAGUCGAACGGCAGCGGACCUUCGGGUGCCGGCGAGUGGCGAACGGGUGAGUAAUAUAUCGGAACGUACCUUUCAGUGGGGGAUAACGUAGCGAAAGUUACGCUAAUACCGCAUAUUCUGUGAGCAGGAAAGCAGGGGAUCGCAAGACCUUGCGCUGAUUGAGCGGCCGAUAUCAGAUUAGCUAGUUGGUGAGGUAAAGGCUCACCAAGGCGACGAUCUGUAGCGGGUCUGAGAGGAUGAUCCGCCACACUGGAACUGAGACACGGUCCAGACUCCUACGGGAGGCAGCAGUGGGGAAUUUUGGACAAUGGGCGCAGGCCUGAUCCAGCCAUGCCGCGUGAGUGAAGAAGGCCUC
rnacentral:rRNA from 1 species